UUGGCUUAGAAGCAGCCACCCUUGAAAGAGUGCGUAACAGCUCACUGGUCGAGUGAUCCUGCGCGGACAAUGUAACGGGGCUAAAGCUAGAAACCGAAGUUGCGGAUUUCUGCCAUUAGGCAGGAGUGGUAGCGGAGCGUCGGGCUUGGAGCGAAGCGGCAGCGCAAGCUGACGUGGACUGAGUCCGAGUGAGAAUGUUGGUAUGAGUAGCGAGAGAGGGGUGAGAAACCUUUCCGCCGAAAGCCCAAGGGUUCCUGGGGAAGGCUAAUCCUCCCAGGGUGAGUCGGGAGCUAAGGCGAGGCCGACAGGCGUAGUCGAUGCACAACCGGUUGAUAUUCCGGUACCGCUGUGAACGCGUCCAGGCUUAACCGGUGUUGCUAAGGGGAUGCCUGUCCCGGUAAGGGACAGGAGAAACCGACCCACACCGGAGCGGCCAGCAACGCGGGGACGCAGAGAGGUAGGUGAACCCAGGCGACGGUAGUUCCUGGGGUAAGCGUGUAGGGCGGGGCCCAGGUAAGUCCGGUCCCCAUAAAGCCUAAGGCGUGAUACCGAACCGCAUGAGGUGAAGUCACUGAUCCUGUACUGCCAAGAAAAGCCGCUAGCGAGCUUUCACGGCGCCCGUACCCCAAACCAACACAGGUGGGCAGGUAGAGAAUACCAAGGCGAUUGGGAGAACUAUGGUUAAGGAACUCGGCAAAUUACAUCCGUAACUUUGGGAUAAGGAUGACCCUAGUAAAGUAAUGGACUUCGCGUCCGGAGCUUGAUUGGGUGGCACAAACCAGGGGAAAGCGACUGUUUACUAAAAACACAGCAGCGUGCGAAGUCGUAAGACGCUGUAUACGCUGUGACGCCUGCCCGGUGCUGGAAGGUUACGGGGAGGGGUUAGCCGUAAGGCGAAGCUCUGAACCUAAGCCCCAGUAAACGGCGGCCGUAACUAUAACGGUCCUAAGGUAGCGAAAUUCCUUGUCGGGUAAGUUCCGACCUGCACGAAUGGCGUAACGACUUUCCCACUGUCUCAACCAUAGACCCAGCGAAAUUGAAGUACGAGUAAAGAUGCUCGUUAGCUACAGAAGGACGGAAAGACCCCGUGGACCUUUACUACAGCUUGAUAUUGGUGUUUGGUAUGUGUUGUGCAGGAUAGGUGGGAGACUGGGAAGCAUGGACGCAAGUCUGUGUGGAGUCAACCUUGAAAUACCACUCUGCUCAUGCUGGGCAUCUAACUUGGGCCCGUAAUCCGGGUUGAGGACAGUGUCAGGUGGGUAGUUUGACUGGGGCGGUCGCCUCCCAAAGAGUAACGGAGGCGCCCAAAGGUUCCCUCAGCCUGGUUGGCAAUCAGGCGUCGAGUGUAAUGGCACAAGGGAGCUUGACUGCGAGACCGACGGGUCGAGCAGAAACGAAAGUUGGGCAUAGUGAUCCGGCGGUUGCGUGUGGAAGCGCCGUCGCUCAACGGAUAAAAGGUACCCCGGGGAUAACAGGCUCAUCUUCCCCAAGAGUCCAUAUCGACGGGAAGGUUUGGCACCUCGAUGUCGGCUCAUCGCAUCCUGGGGCUGAAGCAGGUCCCAAGGGUUGGGCUGUUCGCCCAUUAAAGCGGUACGCGAGCUGGGUUUAGAACGUCGUGAGACAGUUCGGUCCCUAUCCUCUGUAGCCGAAGGUGAUUUGAGGAAAGCUGUCCCUAGUACGAGAGGACCGGGACGGACGCAGCUCUCGUGUGCCAGUUGUUCUGCCAAGGGCAUGGCUGGUUAGCGACCUGCGGAAAGGAUAACCGCUGAAAGCAUCUAAGUGGGAAGCCUGUUCCAAGAUGAGAUCACCCACCGGGAAAACCGGGUAAGGCCCGUGGCAGAACACCACGUUGAUAGGCCGGAAGUGUACGCAUGGCAACAUGUUCAGCUAACCGGUACUAAUCGGCCGAGGGCUUGGUUCU
rnacentral:rRNA from 1 species